GACAACUGCAUGGCUCAGUGCUGCCCCCUCUGUCCUGGAGGAAUGUGGACAGACUGUCUUUGACCCUGAACAACUGAAGACAGUGCUGCAGCACCAUCAGCGUCAUGGAAACCUGAACAAUAGUCAUGUCUCUAAUUACACUACAGAUACCAUCCUGUCCACACUGUCCCUCCCUCCAAUAAUCAGAGUUGUUAUUAACUACGAGCCAGACAACUCUGUCAAUGGGAGGCCGUACUCAGAUGAAGAUGAAUGCAUAGAUAAUGGGGUAGAGGUCUGUGAAUAUGAAGACCACAAUUAAAUCCUGGAUGAAAGCACUGAUAGAUGUUUGGAGGAUCUAGGACUGUCAACAUCAGAGGAACAGGAACAGGAGGGUCUGCCACCUGCAGAGACCUCAGUGUUUGUUACUCCAGUACCCUGUGAUGAAUUGAACUUGGAUCGUUCUCUCAACAUAAUGGUGAAUGCUGACGAGCCAUC
rnacentral:lncRNA from 1 species